rnacentral:rRNA from 1 species
UACGUAGGUGGCAAGCGUUGUCCGGAUUCAUUGGGCGUAAAGCGCGCGUAGGCGGCCCCGCAAGUCGGCCGUGAAAUCUCCCAGCUCAACUGGGAGGGGUCGGGCGAGACUGCGGGGCUCGAGGUGGGUAGAGGGCAGUGGAAUUCCGGGUGUAGUGGUGGAAUGCGUAGAGAUCCGGAGGAACACCAGUGGCGAAGGCGGCUGCCUGGGCCUGGCCUGACGCUGAGGCGCGAAAGCGUGGGGAGCAAUCCGG